UCCUGACCUCUUUGCUUCCCCUGCAGCCUGCUCACACAGCUACCAGGGAACUGUGUGGUCCCUGUGUUCUUUGCUGGUUUUAACACUGAAUCAGGUGUUUUCAUGUUCUCUGCCACCAUAGCCCUCUUCCCUGUCCCCCACUGGACUCAGUGUUUCUCAGGUGCUGAUGGGGGAGGGGAAGAGGGCUGGGCAAGGGCACUGGGGGGGGGGGCUCUGGGAAGGCAGGGUGCUUGGUGGGCAGGGGUUCUAGAAGGUCUGUUGGAGGAGGUAGGGCUGGCGAGCAGGUGCCAGAGAAGAUUUAGGGGGGCCGUGGUGAGAUUGCCCCCUCGAACCGCUGGAAGGGCUGACUUGUUGAAAGAUGGCACGGAAUGUUCCUAGGGAGCAGGGGAGUGGGUGGGAGGCAGGAAGGAAGGGUAGGGUGGGAGGGAGGGAGGUUGGGAAGAGAGAGUGGGAGGUUUAGGGCAGGACCUGGGCUAGACUUAUAAAUAUCCCUAAGUGUCGUUACUUCUACUUUCCUCUGCCUUACAAAGCCUGGCACAUCGAGGCAGCUGGUCAGUCCACAGUAGCUGCCACUCCUUGCCAGCCUGGUCCUCCAGCUAAUGGGCCAUAGCCUUUGAAGGCAUGAGUGGAGAUCUCCCUGAGGCCAAUGAGGAGUGGCGCUGGUCUUCCCAGCCACCCUUGUCUCUCCCCAAGGAGAGCUGUGAAGGCAAGAUGCCAGAGACAUCCUCGGAGGAGCUGUCUCCUAAUCCUGACCGGAAAGCUGAGACUUCCCCACCUCCAGAAAUGGAUCCCAAAGACAACUCGAAGGGCAAGGGCAAAGGGGACUCUGGUGCCAAAGGUGGGCAGCAAGGCUCUGUUCCCAAGUGGUACAAGAUGAAAGGUGAGGAUCUCCAAGGCAACUGGAGUGAUCUGGCGAAGAUUGAACAGAAGGUGGAUACUCUGCUAGAGAAGAUGGAUCUGUAUAACAAGGAGGGUGGACCCCCGCCACAGGCUGCUGAGGAGGCGAAGAAGAUCCCACAGCCGCCGCAGCCCCAGCCACCCCAGCCACAGCAGCCGCAGCAGCCCCCUCCAGUGCCGCCACUGCCAACCCGGCAGGAGCAGGCGCUGCCCCAGCAGCAGCACCACGGUGGCAAAGGCCAGAAGAAGUUCAAGGGGUAUAUUAAGGGGGCUCCCACUGAGGUUGGUGGAGGAGGCAGUGGUGGUGGUGGUGCUGUGGGAAAGUUUGCUUAGAGGGGUGGAGCCUGGACCAGAGGGAUGCUGCAGAUCAAGGCCUGGAGGACCUGCGGGGGUGGUUCCAGGAAGAGGCAGUGGCAGCAGCAGCUGCAGGGGCCCCCUCCCCAUGACAUCUGGGCCCUUGUGCUAGAGCCAGCCUCACCUGGUCCCCUCCCCUGGUAUCCUCCAGCACAGUUGUCCCCAAUCUUAAUCGCUCCAGGCUCCCUAAUUCAGCUCUUUCUAGCAAGUGGCCGCCCCUGCCACUCCCCAAAGCAUUCCUUGGAGGCCCCCCAGUAAAGCAUCUGCUAUUUUGCUCCUUAGCUCUCAUAACUUUUCUCUGCAGAUUUGACAAUAAAAACAUUCUCUUGCUUCUGUGGUGCUUUUUU
ensembl:lncRNA